rnacentral:tRNA from 1 species
CCGCCACUGGUCGAGGUGGGGCUGCGGGUGCUGCUCGCGUUCGCGCUGCUGUUCCUGUCGGCGGUGGUGGUC